AUUGAACGCUGGCGGCAGGCCUAACACAUGCAAGUCGAACGGCAGCACAGAGAGCUUGCUCUCGGGUGACGAGUGGCGGACGGGUGAGUAACGUCUGGGAAACUGCCCGAUGGAGGGGGAUAACUACUGGAGACGGUAGCUAAUACCGCAUAACGUCGCAAGACCAACGUGGGGGACCUUCGGGCCUCACACCAUCGGAUGUGCCCAGAUGGGAUUAGCUAGUAGGUGGGGUAAUGGCUAACCUAGGCGACGAUCCCUAGCGGGUCUGAGAGGAUGACCAGCCACGCUGGACCUGAGACACUGUCCAGACUCCUACGAGAGGCAGCAGUGGGGAAUAUUGCACGAGGGGCGCAAGGCUGAUGCAGCCAUGCCGCGUGUAUGAAGAAGGCCGUCGGGUUGUAAAGUACUUUCAGCGGGGAGGAAGGCGGUGAAGUUAAUAGCUUCACCGAUUGACGUUACCCGCAGAAGAAGCACCGGCUAACUCCGUGCCAGCCGCCGCGGUAA
rnacentral:rRNA from 1 species